UACGAAGGGGGCUAGCGUUGCUCGGAAUCACUGGGCGUAAAGGGCGCGUAGGCGGCGUUUUAAGUCGGGGGUGAAAGCCUGUGGCUCAACCACAGAAUGGCCUUCGAUACUGGGACGCUUGAGUAUGGUAGAGGUUGGUGGAACUGCGAGUGUAGAGGUGAAAUUCGUAGAUAUUCGCAAGAACACCGGUGGCGAAGGCGGCCAACUGGACCAUUACUGACGCUGAGGCG
rnacentral:rRNA from 1 species